rnacentral:lncRNA from 1 species
AAAAUGUUGAUUUAUAAACUGAAAAAGAUUUGUUAUGUGACCGUACACAAAGGCGAAACUUUAAUAAUUAAUUAAGAGAGAUAAAAUGUUGAUUUAUAAAUUGCAUCUCUCUUUGACCAUAUGAUGGACCCCGGCCGCACGCCAGCCACCCAUUCCCCUCAUUGUCAAUGAUGCACAGGACCCACCCAUGACUCCAUCGUCUUACUCUUCGCCUGGGACGAGCCGUGUGUCAGAUCUUCUCAUUACUAGUUGACCCGUUGCGCCAAAUGGCGCAGAGAUCCGCUAAAUACAUGUUGUCGAUGAAAAUAAUUUCAUUUUGCAAGGACAUAUUCGAUACUGGUAGUAGAAAGCCUAUUUUAAACCAUGACAUAUUGAAAAUAUGUUUAUCACGUUGUGAAGUUCGAGUUUGAAAUAAAAGUGCAUUUAUAUAACACGUACAAACCAGCACCAGAUGGCCCAGAGACCCUUUUAAAACCAUAUUAGCGUUGAACAUAUAUGCAUUUUUUACAUCAAGCACAUAUGGUAAGUAUUUAGACCCCUUUAUGUAAAGAAAAAUUGCAUAGGCUUUUCUUUAUAAAUAUAUGUACCUUUAAAAUCAUGAGUUCUUUCAAAAUAUUUUCUGUAGCAAGGAACUUUAGGUUUGAGCAUGUAUAAGCAUAGCUUUAGCCCCUCUGUAUAGAAAUUGUGAAGUAGUCUUGUGUUUGAAAAAAAAUUCUAUCCAACAGUCAUGUGCUAUUUAGACCCGUUAUAUUUCAAAUUAGGCAUGUUUGUCGACGGCUGCUUUCAUAGCCAGUACAGCAAGCACAUAGGUUUGAGAGAAGAACCAUUUACAACCAUGACAACAUUGGAAAUAUUUCUAUCCAUGAGUCACCUGCUAUUUAGUCCCAUUUAAAACCAUGACCGCAUUUAAAAUAUUGCUAUUUUUUAAAAACUUUAGGUUUCAGCAAGCACAUAGGUUUGAGAGAAGAACCCAUUGCAUCAAAUGGCGCAAAAGCGCGAUUCAAACGAAGAAGUAAAUAAAACUAUUUUGCUUAACUUACGAAUGAACAUCGAUGUUCUUGGUAUAGUAACCUUGUUAUUGAAUCGAUAUGAAUAUCUGAAAUAACUUUACAAAUGAAUUUAUAGAGAAUAGUUGACCCGUUGCGCCUAAUGGCGCAGAAACCCGUUGAGUCCAUAUGUGCUUUGAAAAAAGACACAUGUAUCAGUUGGUUUAGUUAUGGGCAAGCACAUGUUGUAACAGAAUGGAGGCUCGUUGCCUACCAUAAAAAUGGAGGCUUGCUGUCUACAAAAAAAUGUACAAUAACAUUACCUGUUGCGCCAAAUAGCAAAAGGUCCCAUUUCAAACCACGAGUUAUUACUGAAAAAGGCUUCCGCCCCGCUUUAUAUAUAAAGCAUGAUCCACAGCAACUCGGUACAAACGCACGCCACCACAACACACGCACACACCCAAGGCAGGAUACUUGAAAUAAGUGCAUGAAACUUGACCAUACUAAGAGCCUUUCUAAUAAUGAAACCUGAUGUGAUUUGAAAAGGUUUGCCUUUGUAGGUAAAAUUAGAAACAAUACCUAGGAAAACCAAAGAAGAAAACUUCCUAAGCAGGAGAGAAGAGAGAAACCAAAAGCUUUUCAACUAAUGCAUGUGACUACAAAGGUCACCGUCAUAGUUAAAAUGCAAAGGCCUUAACAAAAUAUCAUGUUUCAUAUCAUAUUAUGGAUUUGCACUCUUCUAAAAGAUUAAAAAGUUUGGUAUUCAUGGCAACCAUGAAAUAUGAGGGUUCAAAGAAAGCACAAAAUCAGGAAAGUCGUAUUCCAAAUAAGUAAAUAGAAAGGUCACUCGAUUAUCCUAUAAGUGCAUGACAUGCCACACAUAAAAAUCUUAAAGAUUUAACACAUGGAUGAGGCAAAGAUAGGAUCAAUUUAGAAAUCCAACAAAUUCUUUAUAGGCCACUGCAACCAAAUCUUAAACAGUUAACACAUGGAUAAGGCAGAUAUAGGAUCAAUUUAGCAAGACCAUAAUAUACAUGCCGUUGAGACUUACAUGCAUGAGAGAAAUAUUUAGAUUUGCAAAUACAGUUCACUUCUUUCCAAAUGUAUGUGCCACACAACUGAUAGAACCCAAAGUUAUGUGAUGGGUCAGAUUGGCAAGGCAUUUCCUUCAAAUUCUUGGCAGCGAUCCUUUGUAGUGCUCCUCAAACUACUAUCAAUGAGAAUAAUAUUCUUCUCAAUAUUUACACCUCGAUGUAAAAACAAAGGUAGGAUAAUGUGUGUGUUUUUUGCGCCAAAUGGCGCAGAGGCACGCUAAAGCCAUGUUUGUGAUGAAUUUGUUUUGCAUGGUUUAGUCCUCUCUGAAAUACCUAGCAGAUUAUAAAACAGUUUAGGCUAAACCACUUCGCUAGCUUAGGCGCUGAGAAAAGACGAUUGGAUUUAAGAAUACAGGUGCAACGACUCGGCUUAGAGGAAUAGGGAUGGAAUGAAAUCUACCUUGAACUGAAACGGCAGCACAGGAUGCAGCCUCAGGUUGAAGAAGACGACGCCAUAAACCCAGGGCACCAAGAGAUAAAUACAUGUUGAGCGAUAAACAAGGCACAUGCAGUGGAAAAGGAGAGCAAACCUUGAGUAGCAGGCAGCAGCAGCAGGCUACAGGUGCAGAUGCAGAAGCAGAG